rnacentral:rRNA from 1 species
AGUGAACGCUGGCGGUAGGCCUAACACAUGCAAGUCGAACGGCAGCACAGUAAGAGCUUGCUCUUACGGGUGGCGAGUGGCGGACGGGUGAGGAAUACAUCGGAAUCUACUUUUUCGUGGGGGAUAACGUAGGGAAACUUACGCUAAUACCGCAUACGACCUACGGGUGAAAGCAGGGGAUCUUCGGACCUUGCGCGAUUGAAUGAGCCGAUGUCGGAUUAGCUAGUUGGCGGGGUAAAGGCCCACCAAGGCGACGAUCCGUAGCUGGUCUGAGAGGAUGAUCAGCCACACUAGAACUGAGACACGGUCCAGACUCCUACGGGAGGCAGCAGUGGAGAAUAUUAGACUAUGGGCGCAAGCCUGAUCCAGCCAUACCGCGUGGGUGAAGAAGGCCUUCGGGUUGUAAAGCCCUUUUGUUGGGAAAGAAAAGCAGCAGGUUAAUACCCCGCUGUUCUGACGGUACCCAAAGAAUAAGCACCGGCUAACUUCGUG